rnacentral:rRNA from 1 species
CCGCGCCGCAUUAGCUAGUUGGUAAGGUAACGGCUUACCAAGGCAACGAUGCGUAGCCGACCUGAGAGGGUGAUCGGCCACACUGGAACUGAGACACGGUCCAGACUCCUACGGGAGGCAGCAGUAGGGAAUCUUCCGCAAUGGGCGAAAGCCUGACGGAGCAACGCCGCGUGAGUGAUGAAGGUCUUCGGAUCGUAAAACUCUGUUAUUAGGGAAGAACAAAUGUGUAAGUAACUAUGCACGUCUUGACGGUACCUAAUCAGAAAGCCACGGCUAACUACGUGCCAGCAGCCGCGGUAAUACGUAGGUGGCAAGCGUUAUCCGGAAUUAUUGGGCGUAAAGCGCGCGUAGGCGGUUUUUAAGUCUGAUGUGAAAGCCCACGGCUCAACCGUGGAGGGUCAUUGGAAACUGGAAAACUUGAGUGCAGAAGAGGAAAGUGGAAUUCCAUGUGUAGCGGUGAAAUGCGCAGAGAUAUGGAGGAACACCAGUGGCGAAGGCGACUUUCUGGUCUGUAACUGACGCUGAUGUGCGAAAGCGUGGGGAUCAAACAGGAUUAGAUACCCUGGUAGUCCACGCCGUAAACGAUGAGUGCUAAGUGUUAGGGGUUUCCGCCCUUAGUGCUGCAGCUAACGCAU